CUGAGGGUGGGCAGAUGGCACUGAGGUGGGGAAUCAAAAACAAUUUCAUGUGCAUAAUGUUUAAUUUUUUUUCCUUUAUUUUAGCAUCUACAAUCAAAAACAAUUUUCUUUGUGAAGAUUUAAAAAUCUUAUCUGAAAAUGUCUGUACCCCAAGUUCGACGUAGGCCACCCAGAAGGCACUGUUGUAUCCAACAACUGUCUUCAUCAUCGACCAGCUCGGCCGCCACACCAGCACCAUCACCUGCUGUGGCCAGCUCAUUGCAGGCGUCAGCGUCACUGAGUGGAGGUGGAGAUAGCCCUUACCAGGACCGGCAGCAAGGAAAACUGCUAGCAGCACUCGGGCACCUGAACCUGCUCUUGAAGCGGACACGGAGCCGGCCACAACCCCCAGCCAUCCUGUCUCUCAUACACCGAUUCGGGUCAAUCCUGGUCCUCUACCAAGUCCCUCU